CUUGGCGGCGAUAGUGCAGUGGACCCACCUAACUCCAUGCCGAACUUAGAAGUGAAACGCUGUAACGCCGAUGGUAGUGUGGGGCU
rnacentral:rRNA from 1 species